rnacentral:rRNA from 1 species
CCUAGGGUGGCUGCAGUGGGGAAUAUUGGACAAUGGGCGAAAGCCUGAUCCAGCCAUGCCGCGUGUGUGAAGAAGGCCUUCGGGUUGUAAAGCACUUUCAGUGGGGAAGAAAGCCUUGGGGCUAAUACCCUCGAGGAAGGACAUCACCCACAGAAGAAGCACCGGCUAACUCCGUGCCAGCAGCCGCGGUAAUACGGAGGGUGCGAGCGUUUAUCGGAAUUACUGGGCGUAAAGCGCGCGUAGGCGGUCUGAUAAGCCGGUUGUGAAAGCCCCGGGCUCAACCUGGGAACGGCAUCCGGAACUGUCAGGCUAGAGUGCAGGAGAGGAAGGUAGAAUUCCCGGUGUAGCGGUGAAAUGCGUAGAGAUCGGGAGGAAUACCAGUGGCGAAGGCGGCCUUCUGGACUGACACUGACGCUGAGGUGCGAAAGCGUGGGUAGCAAACAGGAUUAGAUACCCCGGUAGUC